rnacentral:rRNA from 1 species
UACGUAGGGUGCGAGCGUUGUCCGGAAUUAUUGGGCGUAAAGGGUGCGUAGGCGGGAUGGCAAGUCGGUCGUGAAAUCCUUCGGCUCAACCGAAGAACGUCGGCCGAUACUGCCGUUCUUGAGGGAUGCAGAGGAGAUUGGAAUUCCCGGUGUAGCGGUGAAAUGUGUAGAGAUCGGGAGGAACACCGGUGGCGAAGGCGGGUCUCUGGGCAUCUCCUGACGCUGAGGCGCGAAAGCGUGGGGAGCAAACGGG